rnacentral:rRNA from 1 species
AGAGUUUGAUCCUGGCUCAGAACGAACGCUGGCGGCAGGCCUAACACAUGCAAGUCGAGCGCGCCUUCGGGCGAGCGGCGGACGGGUUAGUAACGCGUGGGAACGUGCCCAGAUCUACGGAACAGCCACUGGAAACGGUGAGUAAUACCGUAUACGCCCUUCGGGGGAAAGAUUUAUCGGAUUUGGAUCGGCCCGCGUUAGAUUAGGUAGUUGGUGGGGUAACGGCCUACCAAGCCUACGAUCUAUAGCUGGUUUUAGAGGAUGAUCAGCAACACUGGGACUGAGACACGGCCCAGACUCCUACGGGAGGCAGCAGUGGGGAAUCUUGGACAAUGGGGGCAACCCUGAUCCAGCCAUGCCGCGUGAGUGAAGAAGGCCCUAGGGUCGUAAAACUCUUUCGCCUGUGAUGAUAAUGACAGUAGCAGGUAAAGAAACCCCGGCUAACUCCGUGCCAGCAGCCGCGGUAAUACGGAGGGGGUUAGCGUUGUUCGGAAUUACUGGGCGUAAAGCGCACGUAGGCGGAUUAGAAAGUUAGAGGUGAAAUCCCGGGGCUCAACCCCGGAACUGCCUUUAAAACUACUAGUCUAGAGUUCGAGAGAGGUGAGUGGAAUUCCGAGUGUAGAGGUGAAAUUCGUAGAUAUUCGGAGGAACACCAGUGGCGAAGGCGGCUCACUGGCUCGAUACUGACGCUGANGUGCGAAAGUGUGGGGAGCAAACAGGAUUAGAUACCCUGGUAGUCCACACCGUAAACGAUGAAUGCCAGUCGUCNGGUA